AGUGAACGCUGGCGGUAGGCCUAACACAUGCAAGUCGAACGGCAGCACAGUAAGAGCUUGCUCUUACGGGUGGCGAGUGGCGGACGGGUGAGGAAUACAUCGGAAUCUACUUUUUCGUGGGGGAUAACGUAGGGAAACUUACGCUAAUACCUCAUACGACCUACGGGUGAAAGCAGGGGAUCUUCGGACCUUUCGCGAUUGAAUGAGCCGAUGUCGGAUUAGCUAGUUGGCGGGGUAAAGGCCCACCAAGGCGACGAUCCGUAGCUGGUCUGAGAGGAUGAUCAGCCACACUGGAACUGAGACACGGUCCAGACUCCUACGGGAGGCAGCAGUGGGGAAUAUUGGACAAUGGGCGCAAGCCUGAUCCAGCCAUACCGCGUGGGUGAAGAAGGCCUUCGGGUCGUAAAGCCCUGUUGUUGGGAAAGAAAAGCAGCAGGUGAAUACCCCGCUGUUUUGACGGUACCCAAAGAAUAAGCACCGGCUAACUUCGUG
rnacentral:rRNA from 1 species